AAAGAUAUUCUAAAGGAGCAUUUUUUAAUCGAUUCUUCUAAAAAUUUAGCGACGUGCAGCAUGUGUGACAAAAAGAUGAAGUCAAUACCAUCAAAUCUUAAAAGACACAUAACCUCUCAACACCCAAACAUAAUGAAAGCAGAUGAAUCUAAUAGUGAUUCGUCCUUCAAUGCUAGAAAUACAGCAAAAGAAAAAUUCCCAAAAAUUAAGAUCGAUAAAUCUAAAGUUUUUGAAUGUAUAGUAUGGUUGAUUACAGUCCAUAAUUUAC